rnacentral:lncRNA from 1 species
GUGGGUAUAAGGACAAAUAUUUAGAAUGGUCAGGUAUUAUGCUGGUUUAGUAAAGUGGCAGUUGUAGGUUCUCCUUCAAUAUCCAUGGCUUCACUAGUCAUAUGUAAUUGGCUAUGUUUCCAGUAACAGGCAUGAUUUCCCUCCUGUUAAUUAGGCCCUUCAUCCAAUUAGACAGCUAGUGGUUUACUGGAUGUGGUCUGGUUAGUUCAACAAUGGCUGUCUUCCAGUGGAAAGUUCCCAGUAGUGUUCAGAUCAUCGGGCUUGAUGUCUUUAAUGUAUGCCAGAAUUCCAAAGAAAUAGGCUCUGAUGCCAUUGAAGUGAGAGCCAGAGCACACAGGCAAAGAACAGUUAACUAAAUGAUCCGGCCGACUAAAAUCCCUCACAGGUCUUCCUCCAUGACAGUGGGAGUGUUGCCUGCUUUGUUUGGAGUUAGUCAGUUGAUGGACAUCUGGGCUGUUUCCGUUUCCUGACUAUUGUGAAUAGGAUAGCAAGAACGUAGAGUCCAAUAGGGUUAAAGGGAAAUGUUACUGAAGGGACCAGCUUCCCUUUUGGCAGCCAUAACGGCCGAACACGUGCUUCUAUGACCUUGUCCUAGACACUAGAAAGUCAGAUGCUUGCCUCGUGACAAGGAAGCAAUCAGAAGUUAGUCACUAGAAAGUCAGAUGCCUAACAAGGAGCCAAUCAGAAGUUAGCUGGUGGCGCUAUGCUUUACGGCUCUGGGUGUGCUUUACGGACAAGCACACAGCAAUGAUGUAGAGAGCAUAGCAGCCACCCUGGAAGGGCCUAUGGGCCAUAACAACCAGUUGACCAUCAACAUAGGGCAAACCCUCCAAGCCUGGAGGCACACCAAUCCUGAGCCUGUGCGUACCCCUAGACACUCCCCUUAUGCUGCCCUAUAAAGAUCUGUACGAAGCGGCUUCGAACUGUCUUUGCUAGCCGUCCGCCAUGGUGGGUGGGUCAAAGACCCGAGCUAACAUGGGGUUAGCUCGUUAAACUACAAUAAAGCCUCA